AGUUCGGAUUGGAGUCUGNAACCCGACUCCAUGAAGCUGGAUUCGCUAGUAAUCGCGCAUCAGCCACGGCGCGGUGAAUACGUUCCCGGGCCUUGUACACACCGCCCGUCAAGCCAUGGAAGCCGGGGGUGCCUGAAGUGCGUGACCGCAAGGAGCGCCCUAGGGUAAAACCGGUGACUGGGGCUAAGUCGUAACAAGGUAAC
rnacentral:rRNA from 1 species